UUGUAAUUUUAAAUUUUAUAUUUUUAUUAAGUUAAAGAGUGAAGUCUAAUAAAUGAGGUUGAAAUUAUAAAUGGUAAAGAAGGUGAUAAUGUGAUAAGAUUAAGUGAUAAAAUGGGAUUAGAUACCCUAUUAUAUUUUUUAUAAAUGUAGUUGUUCUUGAGUAGUAAAUAGUUAUGUGCUCGAAACUUAAAGAAUUUGGCGGUAUCUAAGCCCAGUCAGAGGAAUCUGUAUUUUAAACGAUAUACCACGAGUAUCUAGCUUUGUUUUGUAUGAUCAGUUUGUAUACCUCCAUUAUUAGAUAAUUUUAUAAAAAAUUUAUUGAAAUAGAAUAUCACUAGUAUAUUAGGUCAAGGUGCAGCUUAUAAUAAAGAUAGUUAUGGAUUACAAUAUUUAUAAAAAUAUUAUGAAUAAAGGCUGGAAGAAGUAAGUUUUUUGAAGGUGGAUUUGAGUGUAAUUAGUGAAUAUUUAUCACUAUUGAUAAAGGUUCUUAGAUAUGUACAUAUCGCCCGUCGUUCUCGCUUU
rnacentral:rRNA from 1 species